GCCUUCAUACACAUUUUUUCUCUCUUGUUGUUUAUGCCUUCAAACACUUUUUUCUGUUUUUGGGUAUCAAAUUUGAAAGUUUCAACAGUUUUUCAAUGAUCAUGGACCUUGCUUUUGUUCUUUGCCUGAUGUGUUGUUUUGCCCUGAUUGGAUUUGAAUGAAAGUUGCUUCAGGUCUGUUCUAGAUGAGUUUUGUUCUUUGCCUGCGAUGCUCUUUAUAUUCAUCUUCUAAUUGUUGUCCCCUUCAAAUUUAGCUUCUAUAACUUGAAUUCACAGAGAUGUGCCUUUUUGUUUCGAGUAAGUAUUCACAUUUGUUUUAUAUAGGUUUUUAUUUUUUGAGAGUUUAAUUCAAGUUUGUACAUUGUCCAACCGAACAUUCUCGUAUGUAUAGUCUAUUUUUUAACAUCGAAGUAUUUUUUUUUUUGAACUGUUGGAGUGGUGUUUCUAUUGUUUUUAUAGCAUAAAAAAAUUAUGAUUCUAUGCUUUUCUUUUUUUAUAUAAUUUUUUUUAUUGGGAUUUAAAAUGGCAAGACAUUUAUUAUGUUGAUUCAUUCGAGUUUUUGGCAUGUUAUGAAAAAACCAACUAAGAGAGGAGAAUUAAUGCAGGGGGGUUCAAUUUUUUCCCGUCUGUGAAAUCAGGUUUCAUAAGAUUCUACGAACGUUUUCUGGCUUAUGAUGACUAGAGCCAUUAAAGGCAUAUGCUAUUGAAAUUCCUUUAUUAUUUAUUAUUAUUUCUCUUGAUUCAUAUAUGUGUUUGGGAUGGUUCUCUUUGGUUUGGUGGUUUUCUUUAUAGCCCGUGGUUUUAAUGCCAGCACGUUUUUUUCUGGCUGUCUUCUCUGGCUAGAGGGUGACGGGGUGGUUAAGUUAUUUGUUAUAUUGUCCAUAUCUUUGUUUCUAGAAUUCCAGGUUAGCCUUUGCAUUGAUUCUCUUCUAUUAAAAGAAGCAUAUAUUUUAUGUCAAAGAUUUUUAUAUUUUUGUCGGCGUCAUUGAAGCUUUUGGUGUCUGGUUUUAGAGAUGGAUGAAGUAAGAUGCUUGGAUGUAUCAUAUAUGGGUGCUUGUUUGUGUACGUGUUUGGAGACAAAAACUUUAAACUUUCAAUGAUCAUUGGAUAAAAAACCUGGCUGAAAGUUUAUCAAUUUGGUUUUAAUAUUUUGAUUGAUUCAUCGUUAUAAUCUAUGUUGCAUAUGAUUGCUGCAUGCUUGUGCACUUGUUGCUUGCUCAUGUUUACUCUGUUGUGGUAGUUUUGUCUGUAUUUAUUAGUUUAUUGAAGGAUUCGUGUCCUUUACAUUACUAUGACAGGUCAUUACCAGAGGUGACCUGGGUGCCUUGUAAUUCUGGUUCUACUGCUGUUAUAUGCUUUCAGAAUUAUUCUUUUUCUGCGGUCAUUGUUUUCUGUUCCCUGCUGUCAGUUCUAUUAGAUUCAUACAUAUGUAGAGUGAUCUAUGUCGCACAAUUUUACGUGGGCUUCAAUUCAAACACGAUGAUUACAUUUCUAGGCUGAUAGAUGUAAUUUUUGAAGUACGUUUUCUGUUUGUCAUGUCAUUGUUUUUCAUUAAAUGUUGUUGAAUCUGCAUCUAAAAAGGACAUUCAAGUUGGUGGAAGUCUUUAAAAUGGGUGGCUAAGUAGACAGAUUCCUUUAUUGCACUGGUUGACAGGUAGUGAAUCUUUGACUUUUCUUCAAGUAGCUUUUUGCCAUAUUCUUUAGGUGGUGCAGAAAUAUUUCUCCUUCACUUGAGGGGUUUGGUGAACUCGAACUUCAUUUUUAAUCUUCGAGGAUCUUCAGCAGUUUUCUUUUAAAUUUUAUGAUUUUUGCAUUGGAUGCUAAUUUUUUAUUUAUUAUCUUUUUUUUUUCAUACUAGGUGAUCUAUAUAGUAUAAUUAUAUUUUCAGACAUCUUUAUGAGGCAGAUAUUGGUUUAUUUCAAGUGGGUAUUUAAGUUGUUGAACCUAGUUUGAUAUCCCAAAUGUUUAGCCCUUGCAUUGGUUCCAUAGGUGAGAGCAUUGACUAUUAUCUUACUUGUAGCUUUAUGUCAUGUUGAUAAGAACCAAAUAACUCUUUUCCCUACAACUCGUCUCCCUAUUUGUUUCCACUUUCUUGCUUUUGGUAACUGCAAGCCAGCUGCUUGUUUGUGUUCUUGUCUAUUUUAUACGUUGGUCUUCUUUUUGAGGUGGAAUGCAUGGGUUGCCUUCUUUUUUGUAACUGUGAAUCUAACAUUUGAUUGUUUCAUAUGAGAUCAUUUGAUAAGAUGUUUGAUUCCCACUAUCCCUUGUUUUCUGCUGUGGUUGUUGUGAUACUGGCAUUUGGCUUCAUAAUAGAUUGUGGCAUUUGCAAAGUCCUUUUUGUAUGAAAACUGUACUUGGGUUCUUGUUUGCUCCUAAAAUAAACAAUCUUCAAUUGGCCACCUUUAGAAGGAGGAAGGGUAAUUGUUGAGCAAAGAUGCCUUACACUGCUGUGUUUGAUGUUCCACUCAACCAGCUAACACUAUAACUCCGAGGACUUGCUGGUUAAUGUGCAACACAUUGAAUGAGGGCCGAAGAUCAUUUUUUAUAUAAUCAAGAUAAAUAAAUCCAUAACCACGUUUCUGAUUUUCAAACCAGAAUAUGGGUUUCUUUUGGGCCUAUGGUGAUGGUAGUGCUAUACAAUGGGAACAUCCACUUUUAUUUAUUUUUAUUUGUAUUCUGGAGAUGUGAGUUUAUGGUGAUAAGGUGAGAGAUCUGCCAGGGAGAUUGAACAGUGUGUGAGCAACAAAUAAUGAAGUUUAGAUUCAAUAAAUGGAGAGAAGGGGAAGCCUAUCUUUAACUCUCUUUCCGCUGCUACCCCAGAAAAGCUGAGAGAUUCUAGCCAAAGUGAGUGAAGACUGUAUAUACAAACCUUUCGCGUGUGCUCAUCCUUGCAUCAAACUGCCCUGACAUUAAUAAAACCAAUUUCUGUGUAUAUCCUCUCUCCACUUAGUGUUCUUUUUCAUUGUUUCUUAUUCAACAGGCCAUGCAGGAACAGUCACUAAUUAAAUAUUGGCACCUAUUAUACUGUUGUGUCACUGUGUAGAAGCAUUUAGCUGUGUCCAAUCCCUGAGACAA